CUGGGAUUACAGGCAUGAGCCACCGUGCCCAGCCAACCUCCGCUCUAGUCUCUUACGGUGCUAAUCACAAGCUGCCUUUGUAUUAUGGUUAUCUGAGGUCAAGUCUCCUCUCCACUUCAGAAUAAAAGUUUCUAGGGGGCAGGGACAACAUUUUUCUGUUGCCAUCUGACAUGGUUUGGCUGUGUCCCCACCCAAAUCUCACUUUGAAUUGUAAUAAUGCCCACGUGUCAAGGGCAGGGCCAGGUGGAGAUAGUUGAAUCAUGGGGGUGGUUUCCCCCAUACUGUUCUCGUGAUAGUAAAUAAGUCUCACGAAGUCUGAUGGUUUUAGAAGUGGGAGUUCCCCUGCACAAGUUCUCUUGCCUGCCACCAUGUAAGAUGUCAUUUUGCUCCUCCUUUGCCUUCUGCCAUGAUUGUAAAGCCUCCCCAGCCAUGUGGAACUGUGACUCCAUUAAAUCUCUUUCCUUUAUGAAUUACCCAGUCUUGGGCAUCUCUUUAUUAGCAGUGUGAGAACAGACUGAUACACUAUUACUUACAACAGGCACAUAGAAAUGAACAGAUAUCUGAAGAAAGACAGGAAGAAUGAGGUAGGUAAGAGGGCGGAGGGUGUGGGUGGAAGAGACAUGCACAGAGGAACUGAGGACGCCGAGUCAGAAAGAUGAAGAGGUUCAGAGAUGGAAGAGAAAGCAGGCAAGAGAGCCCCCAGCAGAAUAUCCCCAGUGCAGAGAUGUAGGGAGAUUAAGAACAGAGCAUUAUGGGCUAAUUGUGCCCCCUCCUCCCCACCACCAAUUUCUGUGUUGAGAUCCUAACUCCCAGUACCUCAGAAUGGGACUGUAUUUGCAGAUAGCAUCUUAAAAUAGGUGAUUAAGUUAAAAUGAGACUAUUAGGGCGGGCUUUAAUCCGAUCUGACUGGUGUCCUUACAAGAAGAGGAAAUUUGGAUACACAGACAGACACAGGGAUGUGUGUGAACACAGAGAUAACCAUGUACAGACACAGCAUGAGGGUGGCCAUCUGCAAGCCAAAGAGAGAGGCCUCAGGAGAAACCAGACCUGCUGACACCUUGAUUUUGAACUUCUAGCCUCCAGAACUGUGAGAAAAUAAAUUUCUGUUUAAGCCACCCAGUGUGUGGCAUUUUGUUAUGGCAGCCUGAGCUGGCUAACACACGGGGGAAGGCCAAUUAGAAAAACAGAAGGAAGGCCCCAGAAAAUGCUCAUGAUUUCAAAUACUUUGCCUGUGAUUUCUCAAACAUUCUAGCUUUCUGAAGACCUUCAAGUCUUAGUCUCUUGGGAGAUGAAGGUAGCGGGGAGUUAAGGAUGGAUUCAGUUUCCAAGUCCUGGGAUACAAGUGUGUAGCUGCAGGCUUGCAUUUCUAACACCAUCCAGUCCUGAUGAUUCUGCUGAGUGCCAUCCUGUCCAGUUGCUCCACAGUGUUCCAGAAACAUUUCUUACAUGUCCACUCAAACUUAAUCACCUAAAUACCUGCCAUUUCUCAUGUACUUUUGAAGGGUUCUGUCUGCUUUGUAGUUUAAGGAAAGCAUUUGAUUUUUCUACCCUUGUAAAAACUGCAGUUGGGAGAAAUAAUUUUACUUUCGCUUCCAGGUUUAUUUUGUUUAACUAAAGCCAUUAGAAAUAGCUUCAGUUUUACAUUUUUCUUCAGUCUGCUUGCAAAGUGUGUUAACACGGUGGUUGAAUUUCAAUGGUUUGGAUUGCUUUGAAUGACUUCUGUGUUUUCAUUCCCAAUUCCUCACAUAUUGGUUGCUAUCUAGGUGACCAGAUGAAAGAGUUAAUUUUUUUUUAUUGAUGUGUAAUAGAUGUACAUAUUUUUGGGAUGCAUGUGACAAUUUGAUACCCUCAAAUAAUCAAAUAAAAAUCUUAAUUAUUAAGAAAGUAUUUUCACUAAGUAAAGGCUUAAAUGUGCAUAUCAAAGUUGAAAACCUGAUGUCCCCGUAGCUACAAGUUCAACUUGUAUACCAAGAGACCCAGCAGCCAGAUUUUUCUCUUUGCAGAAAGUGACUUAAGACCUCACAAAGUGAAGUCCCUGGGACACAUGCCAUGGCCCUGGGGAGCACAGCCUCUAUUAGGCCAGGAAAUAAAACCACCAGGAAGGGUCUAGCAGAGUUGCACUACCCUGGAGCCUGUCUUGUGGCAAACGAUGCCAUAGGAAGUUUUCACUUAACUAAUAUAAUUUUGAGAGGCUCAUACUAGAUUUCCAGACUCAUUAUAUUUUCCUAACCAUCUGAUAGAGCCAGGUGCUGUUUUUAUUAUCAUCAUCCCCAUUGUACGUGAAAAGAAACAGGACAAGAGAGGUUGUCUAAAGCUGCCUUCUAUGUCAGUUUUCCUUUGUGACUGUUGCUUGCCAACCAACAGUUUGCUGGUGGGGUCACUGGUGGGCAGGAGCUGGGUUCUUUCACUCCUUUAUAUCCCCUCUUGGCACCUUGUAAUAUUAGGAACAGCAUCAUGGGCUAUGAUUCUCAAUGAUAUUUGCAAUUUAACAAGAUGCCCUCCUGUGCCUGCUGGAGAUGCUCCCCUAUGGCGAAACCAGGGACCUCUUGUGUGCUGGUACUGGUAGGAUCACAUGUUGUGCUCCAGCUGCCAAGGAAGGCUCUUUCCUGCAGUUGAUGUGCAGAAAACAGCAGUUAGGAUUGACCUCUAAGAGGAGGGUGACUCUUGAGAGAUGAGAAUCAAGAACCAAAAGAUUCUUCCCCCCUUACUGGUUUUGGAGUAUCUGGGGCUCGAUUUUAUUGAAGAAACCAAGCCUUUAUACGAACAUACAUCAAAUUAACAGGAAAGCCUCUGACUUUUUGCUGCAGAAAGACUUCUGCCUUAAGUAUUCAUUCUGAAUUGGGACUGUUCCCUGGCCAGGCUGUCCCCUUGUCAACUUGGAAGCUGACCUCUCCUGCCUUACAGAGAAUCAAGGGACAGAGUUCCAGUCCUCUGGCUUGGGACUGACACUGCCCACCCGGGUUACAGCCCCACUCCCAGCAGCCUUCGCACCUGCAGUGCCAUGAUUUAAUGAGGGCUGUCAGGGAUUAUCGAGUUGUGAACUCUUUUGCAUCCGCCAGGCUCUCAUGAAUGAGGCAUUUUGUUCAGCUCCUUCUCACUUCGUGUUUCUUGGAGCUAGCACAGAGAGAAAAGGCAGCAAGUGAGCAGCUAUUUUGGGCCAGGGUCUUAUAUUUGAAUAUUACAUGAUGAAAUAGUGCACCUAUCAAGUCUGUUGUUUUUGUAGCUUUUCUCUGCGUCUUCCUCCCACCUCAACUCACCCCAUGCCACCCACCCUGGCCUUCUGAGCCCUGAGGCGCCCUUGCUGAUGGGCCAGCUAGGUAAUUCUGCAGUUGGUGAAUCACAGAUCAGUAACUGAGACAGAAAAUACUUGCUGUUGCAAAUCCCCUGAUGAAUGGUCACCGGAAGCUGGGCCUGCAAAAGAGGGGCUGUAGGCCAACAUUUGAGCUCCCUGAGCUGGGCAGAUUUAGAGACCGACUCACACUGAAUCCUUCUUGAUCCAAGUUAAUUUUCUGAGGGAAAUCCAAGGGGGAAUGGUCUUAUGAUUUAGUAGUGUUUUGAGGCUCAAAAAACAUUUGUCAAUAAAAGAAAAAGAAAAUGGUGGCUUGAAUAUUCAGUUGCUUUCAGUGGACAACGUUUUGGUCACUAGGAGGCAGAAACAUCCACUGUGAGCGAGGGUCUCCUUUCCAGGAAGAUGGUGGCAGAGCAACUGGGCCAGCCUUUGGCCUGCAGCCGGGACUAUCUUUAUAUAACACAGCAAUAAAUGCUAUUUAAACAACAAUUAUAAACAAGUAUUCUUUGACUCUUCUAGCUCUCACUUCAAAGAAAACCAAAGCCAUUGGAUGCCACUGGAGAAAAGAAUACUGUGAUCAUUUUCAUUCUUCCCAAACACCCUCCUUCCAGCAGCCUGGAAAAGCCUUGAGUGGGACUUUACAGGUCACAGGAUUCUUCUCAUAUAUUCCAGGCAGUGGCUGUGGGCUACUAGGAACAUCCGUCUGACCCUUGGAAAGCCUGAAGGAGGUGCCUCCUUGCUCUCCAGCUUGGGCCUUGGCACUCGACUCUGUAGUCAGGGUCCCGGGUGUCCAGGAUAAGGCAAAACUACUGGAAAGAUGUGAAGACAGUAGAAUCAAGCUUCUCUCAAUUAUUCCAAUACAGAAGCUCUGUGGCUCCCUGAUUCUCCAUGAUGCCUUGUGAGGCUGGAGUGUGAUGUGGGACCACUGAGGAGCCAAACAGCACUAAACAGGGGAAGAGGUUGAAGGGGGAAUCAGAAGUUUCCCCCACUGCAACUUUGGUGCAGAAGCACAUUGGGUAAGAGUCAAAAAUCUGACAGGGCUUGGAAAACCUCAGAACCAGGGUUCCACAUCUCCUGCAGCUGCCAGACUUUUGUUCAAGGAAAAUUAUUUUCCUCUCAAAUAUGUGCUUACAAUCCCACAAGCUGCCUUGCACAUGGGCUGUAGCAAUGGCCCAAGCAGCCUCUGGCUCAACCCCCACCUGCCUGAGCACCCUCUGGGUAAACUGCCAAAAGUCUGGCCUAAAGAAGCCAGCUACUUCAUUGUCAACAGAUUGUCACUCUCCAAAACAUCUAGAGCUGGAGCGAAUUUGCUGAGUUUCAAUGCCAUGAAUGUCUGCUCACAGGCACUAGAGUCUGUUCAGAGUCAUCAGCCUUUAAAUCCUGGAGGGCAGUGAUAUAUUACCUCGCACAACCUCUGGGUUUACAGAAUGGACAAGGAGAUGCUCAGGAUCUCACAACAAGUUAGUAGCUGUGUCCAGAUUUAAACCUAAGAUUCCAACAUCCCAUUCCUUAUUCUUUCCAACAGAACAUUUAACACAAAUGUGCACGUGGUUUAAUGAGAAACAAAAGUAACAGUUGACAGCCCCAGUUGCCAAAGCACUGUGAACUCUCCAAAUCAUUUUCAUGGCACCUAUAUGGUGGCCCAGUUCUUGCUAACAACCUUACAUAGUAGAUGGAGCAGGGAUGAGCCACACUUCAGAGGAGGCAGAUGUGGACUGCCAAGAAUGUCAAAGCCUUAGCCCCAGCACACAUGCUGUUCAUAGCAUGUCCAUGCUUUGAACCAGGUCUCCUGGCCUCACCCAGCAUGCUCCCCACUCUGCAGCUCAGCUUCCCUAUUGGCAAGUUUCUGUCCCCCAGGUCUUGAUUUGCUCUUUUGCUAACAAGAGGGAGAGAGGAUAAAAACAAAAACAAAAUGAAAGAGUGACAGUGUCUCCAAAAGCAGCCAUAAAUCUCCUAACCAGGGCUUGGAGGCACAGUGAGAGUCCCCCAGCACAAGGCGUGUGAUUCUUGUGUCCCAACUCUUCACCCGGAAAUAUCUAGAGUCCUUUACCCAACGUUUGUGGAGUGCUCACAGUGUGCUAGGUGCUGCAGGGUGUUUGGGGAAGCACAAGGCAAGGGCUCUAUCCUACAGGAAGGGAAAGAGAACCGAGGAAGAGGUGUUAGAGUUGUUGCCCAUGAUGUUAAGCACCUUGUAUUAUCUCAUUUAACUGUUACAACUGCAUUCUAAGGUAUGUAUUUUUGUCCCCCUUUUAAGACAUCUGACGCUCAGGGAGAUUAGACAACACCUGAAGUCAUAAAACUAUUAAGUGGCCAAACUAGAAUUCGAGUCUAGGUCUGUCUGAAUUCGAGACCUUUCCAGCACUGGGUCUGGUACAUAGUAGAUGCUCAAUAAAUGUGUUGAGUAAAUGAAUGGGCAGGGUGAGGUUUGACCAGGCAGAGGAGAGAACCAUAAAUUGGAGGUACAGUGGAUAAGCCACCCUAUCUUAGUGAUAAGCCACUAUCACUAAGAUAGUGGCUUACACUGUAGAAAAAGAUGCUGAGGUCCCAGGAAGAAUGUGCUGGUGAUUUAUCACAGCUACCCAGAGAAGACCAGCCUUCCUAGCUAGGGAGGAUGCUGCUGGGGAAGGUGCUUGCUUUUCUCUGCUCCAGGCCUGUCCUCUCCAUCCACCAAGCAAGGCACCACACUCAUUUUUAUGCUCAUUACUCAUUUGGGGAGGCAGCUGCCUGUCCUGUCCACACCUCCUUCCCUCCCCCGAGGCGAGAAUCACACUCAGGCCCCUGCUGUUCCCACCUCCAAGGGGCAGGCCCUGUCCCUGCUGCCCAUGCCUGUCUUUACUUCCACAGAUGGCGUCAGAAUCAGCAACCCUAGAAGAGGAGCCCAAGAGGCCCUGGUCCCACCCUCCGAAGUAGUUUGACGCUCUGAGUUGGGCGCCGACAGCUGGUUUAGCUGAGACACAUCUCCAAACCGCGGGCUACAGCUGCCGCAGUGUGAACUGUCUCUGAGCCUCCUCUUGGGGCAGCCACGGCCUGACACUGUGGUUCCUAAUGGCUGACAGAUUAUCCUGUGUGCUUGGAGGAGUCACAGGAGGAUUAUAACUGUCUGCCCCAUCCUAUUACCCCUCCAGCUGCCUCUCCCUCUGGAGUCCCUCUCUAGUAUGUAAGAAUGUUAUCAGCACAGCUACAUUAAAAAAUUUGUAAAUGACAUUUUUCAAAGCUUGAGCAUGACUGGUGUGUGUGUGUGUGUGUGUGUGUGUGUGUGUGUGUGUGACUCUAAGCCAUGAAUAUAUCAAAGAUACCUCUGCUGCCUCCCUCGAUGGGUUUUUGGGGGCGCGAGAGAGGGUUGAAGGAAUGAAUGAAAGCCCUUUAGAGUCCUGUCCACCUCUUGGUCUUGGCCAUUGUGAGCAUUUUCUUUCUCAAAAUCGCCUAUCCCCGAUUCCCCAGCAUGAAGGGAAUGUGUGGUCCGAGAGCCUGCGCUAGGAAAGCACAUCUGGAGGCCAGCCCUUCCCCGGCAGCUUUGCCCAUUCUGCUACUGGCAGGGAGCACAGCUGGGCCAGCUGGCAGCAGUGCAUGCACCUCCUGUCCCACACACCCCACAUGCUGCUCUUCCUGCCCUUGCACCUCCCUCCUUAGCCCAUGCCUCCCUGUGCUGGAUGUGUCAGGAGUGUCCAAGUAGCAGAAGCCAUCUCUGGCUCAAGAGCACCAUUAGACCUGCCAGGUCUGGCUGAGCCUCAUGUGUAUUCGCUACAGCCUUCCCUCUGGAUGCCACUGUCUCCAGCAAAGGUUUCGGCCAAUUGAUUUCCAGGUUGGUCUCACUUGGGGAUUACAUCCGGCUGGGCUGCCAACCAGAGCCCUGACAGCUGGAGCAGGACUCUUGUCUACAAGGAGUGGGCCCACACCCCUCGAGGUUGAUGAUACCCUCUCUCCAUCCUCACACACAUCCCUGCAUCAUUAGAGCUGAACUCUUUAGGAAGGGCCUGGACCCUCCCAGAGUUGUAACCUGGGUCUCUCAGGAGGAAUGAGAUAGUGAAGCAGAUUGUCACCAUUUGGGAGCCAUUUUCCUCCCCAGAGACAAGGGAGUCCACUAGGAGUACUGUCAGUACUGUCCCAGGCCUCCCCCUGCCAUGCCAUGUUGCCUGUUGUCCUACAGCAUGACACAGCACUCUGAGUUUGAAGGCAGGGAUCUGUCUUCACUUACAACUGUGAGAUGUGAAAUCAGUUUGUACCUCCUCU
rnacentral:lncRNA from 10 species